rnacentral:rRNA from 1 species
CAGUCGAACGCACAGCGAAAGGUGCUUGCACCUUUCAAGUGAGUGGCGAACGGGUGAGUAACACGUGGACAACCUGCCUCAAGGCUGGGGAUAACAUUUGGAAACAGAUGCUAAUACCGAAUAAAACUUAGUGUCGCAUGACACAAAGUUAAAAGGCGCUUCGGCGUCACCUAGAGAUGGAUCCGCGGUGCAUUAGUUAGUUGGUGGGGUAAAGGCCUACCAAGACAAUGAUGCAUAGCCGAGUUGAGAGACUGAUCGGCCACAUUGGGACUGAGACACGGCCCAAACUCCUACGGGAGGCUGCAGUAGGGAAUCUUCCACAAUGGGCGAAAGCCUGAUGGAGCAACGCCGCGUGUGUGAUGAAGGCUUUCGGGUCGUAAAGCACUGUUGUAUGGGAAGAACAGCUAGAAUAGGAAAUGAUUUUAGUUUGACGGUACCAUACCAGAAAGGGACGGCUAAAUACGUGCCAGCAGCCGCGGUAAUACGUAUGUCCCGAGCGUUAUCCGGAUUUAUUGGGCGUAAAGCGAGCGCAGACGGUUUAUUAAGUCUGAUGUGAAAGCCCGGAGCUCAACUCCGGAAUGGCAUUGGAAACUGGUUAACUUGAGUGCAGUAGAGGUAAGUGGAACUCCAUGUGUAGCGGUGGAAUGCGUAGAUAUAUGGAAGAACACCAGUGGCGAAGGCGGCUUACUGGACUGCAACUGACGUUGAGGCUCGAAAGUGUGGGUAGCAAACAGGAUUAGAUACCCUGGUAGUCCACACCGUAAACGAUGAACACUAGGUGUUAGGAGGUUUCCGCCUCUUAGUGCCGAAGCUAACGCAUUAAGUGUUCCGCCUGGGGAGUACGACCGCAAGGUUGAAACUCAAAGGAAUUGACGGGGACCC